UAGAACAUAGCAUUAAUGCACUAGAUCCCAUUAGAACUUCGUAGUUAAGCGUGCUCGAACUAGAGUAGUAUUGGGAUGGGUGACCACCCAGGAAGUCCUAUUGUUUUAC
rnacentral:rRNA from 1 species